GGGUCCGAGCGUUAUCCGGAAUCAUUGGGUUUAAAGGGUCCGUAGGCGGGCGUCUAAUUCACUGGUGAAAUUCUGCAACUCGGCUGUAGAACUGCCAUUGAUACUGGUCGCCAUGAAUCGCUGUGAAGUGGCUAAAAUGUGUAGUGUAGCGGUGAAAUGCUUAGAUAUUACAUAGAAUACCGAUUGCGAAGGCACGUCACUAACCACAUAUUGACGCUGAUGGACGAAAGCGUGGGGAGCGAACAGGAUUAGAUACCCUGGUAG
rnacentral:rRNA from 1 species